AUUGAACGCUGGCAGUAGGCCUAACACAUGCAAGUCGAACGAGUGGAGGAUGGGUGAGUCAUGUCUGGGAAACUGCCUGAUGGAGGGGGAUAACUACUGGAAACGGUAGCUAAUACCGCAUACCAUCGGAUGUGCCCAGAUGGGAUUAGCUAGUGGGAGGGGUAAAGGCUCACCUAGGCGUCGAUCCCUAGCUGGGCUGAGAGGAUGACCAGGCACACUGGAACUUAGACAAGGUCCAGACUCCUACGUGAGGCAGCAGUGGGGAAUAUUGCACAAUGGGAGCAAGCCUGAUGCAGCCAUGCCGCGUGUAUGAAGAAGGCCUUAGGGUUGUAAAGUACGUUCAGCGGUGAGGCGUUACCCGCAGAAGAAGCAACGGCUAACUCCGUGAGAGGAGCCGCGGUAAUAC
rnacentral:rRNA from 1 species